CGUUCAAAUAUACAAAUUUGUAUUAGACCGCAUUGCGACAAGAAAAAAACUGUAAAGAGGGAGCGGGUUUUAUCUCUGUGGUGUAUUGAUGUGUAAUUUGUAUAGUAGAACUUAACUAAGUCUACUAGUUAGUGUUUCUUUUAUUUGUAAAUAUAAAAAAACAAUAAAAUAUAUCACGUCUAUGUAAAAACAAGAUUCAAUGUUGGAAUUGUUUAUCAAAAAUUUAAAACUUGCUCCUCAGAUGUACGUAAAUUUCGUGUUGGUGAAGCCUACUUUUGAUUUCAUUGUUGGAAAAGUAUAUUCUGAGUCUCACUAGUAAAUGUAGUAUAAUUGUAAAACUUAAGGCAGAUAUACGAAACUGCAUUACUCCUUUACAUGUUUAUCUUUCAAGUUCGUAAAGAAUCUAAUGUGGCUGAUGAGGGGGAGUGCCCGAAA